rnacentral:rRNA from 1 species
AUGCAGAUCCUCCGGCUCCUUGCGGCGCGGCGCAGUGCCGCGUCGGCCGUGGCUGCGUCCGAGCGCCGGGACGGCGAGGGCGAGGACGAGGGGCCAUUCUUCGACCUCGACUUCGCCUCCUGCUCGCUCCGCGGCUCCUCCUUCAGCUCCAGCUCCGGUGCGCUCUCGGGCUCCGACUCCGACUCCGACGAGGAGCUCGACUUCGUCAUCUCACUUCAAAGGAGCCGCUCCGCCUCGGAGCCGCAUUCCAAGGCCAAGCCCGCCGGCCGCAAGCGCGGCAUCGGCGGCCUGCGCACGCUCAGCUUCGGCGCCAGGAAGGCCGCGCCGCUCUACGGCGUCGGCCGCCGCAGCUUCGCCCGCAGCAGCUCCGCCAGCGCGCGCUCGCUCCGGCUCUUCAUGGCGACGCCCCACCCCGAGGAGGACGAGCACGAGCGCGCGUCGGAGCCCGCCGGCAGCAGGCGCGCGCCGUCCCGGGACGUGAUCAGGAGGUACCUGGCCAAGAUCUCGCGGCGGCUCCGCACGGCCGCGAGCCCCCGCGCCGAGGCCAGAGGCCUCCGUCGCCUGCGCAAGUGCCGGUCGGCGUCCUCGGCUGUGGCCAGCUCCGCGCCGCGCCGCGACGACGACUCGGCCGUCGAGAAGCAGGACGGCAUCGCCGGCGCCAUCGCACACUGCAAGGAGUCCAUCCACCGGGCCUCCAUGUCCGACUGCGAGUUGCCGCUGCUACGGUCUCGGAGCGACCCGGGGAAAUGCGACGCCGCGUAG